rnacentral:rRNA from 1 species
GGAAUCUUCCACAAUGGACGCAAGUCUGAUGGAGCAACGCCGCGUGAGUGAAGAAGGUUUUCGGAUCGUAAAGCUCUGUUGUAAGAGAAGAACGUGUGUGAGAGUGGAAAAUUCACACAGUGACGGUAACUUACCAGAAAGGGACGGCUAACUACGUGCCAG